rnacentral:rRNA from 1 species
AACGAACGCUGGCGGCGUGUUUAAGACAUGCAAGUCGCACGGUGUCAUUUUGAUAGCAAUACUUGAAUGGCAUAGUGGCGCACGGGUGAGUAACACGUGAAUUACAUGCCCUGUAGAGGGGGAUAGCCCAGGGAAACUUGGAUUAAUACCCCAUGGUCUCGCAAGAGUAAAGGUGGCCGCAAGGCUGUCGCUACAGGAUUGGUUCGCGCCCUAUCAGCUUGUUGGCGGGGUAACGGCCCACCAAGGCUACGACGGGUACCUGGUCUGAGAGGACGAUCAGGCACACUGGAACUGAGACACGGUCCAGACACCUACGGGUGGCAGCAGUCGAGAAUAAUUCACAAUGGGGGCAACCCUGAUGGUGCAACGCCGCGUGGAGGAUGACGGUCUUCGGAUUGUAAACUCCUGUCAUCCGGGAGUAAGACCUGGGAGUUAAUAGCUCACAGGGUUGAUAGUACCGGAAGAGGAAGGGACGGCUAACUUCGUGCCAGCCGCCGCAGUAAGAC